CCUUUCUCUUCGCAGCAGGUUUGCGAAUCAUAUUAGGCUAUUUUGGUGACAUGGGAGGCUGGUUUAGAAGGUGUUCCAACUAAAGCGGGCUUGCAACGGACUUUCGGAGUAUCUCCGGCUGAUGUGUAAAGGCUUUUAGAAGCUUAACUUGAGCAGAGUUGGGACUCCGUUGAGUAGAGUUUCAGGAC